UCUUUUUUGUCUUUUUGUCUUUUUCCCCCCUCCCUGCUGGGAUGGGGCACGCCCUCUGGGCGCGCCUCACCUUCCCCCUCCCCCACCUCCUCCUCCCAGGCCCGCAGCCUGGCCUGCUUCCGCGACCGCCUGUGCGCUGCCAGGUAAGGGCCGCCUCCUUGGCCACAGGAGAACACUGCCAUGUCCAGGCUGCAGGUCUGGCGGAGCCUCCGCUUGGUUCCAACUCCGCACUUCUGGGAGCAAGGGAGGAAACAGCAAUGCGAAAGGGCCCGGGGAGAAGGAGGAGGAAGCAGCGGUGGCCAAAUUAGGUGCUUAUCCCGGGCCCAUGGGAGCCCAGGCUGCACAGGGCUGUGAAGGGAGCGAGCCCAGGCUGGAGGGAAGGAGGGAGGAGGGGAGGGGGCCGGGCUCUUCUUCUGCCGCAGCACAGACUCCUUCCAUCCCUCCAACGGGCGAAGCCCUGAACAUCCGGAGGGGAUGCUUCCUCCGCAAUGUCUGCACAGAGUCUCCUCAACCUGCUCCUCGGCCCCUCCAGCUGUGAAGAGCCUCUCCAAACAGAGGCUCCACUAGUUGGAGCCAUACAAACAUCAGGAGAGAAUGCUUCUGGAACAUGGCCAGACAGCCUGGAAAACUCACAGCAUCCCAUCCAACCUCUACUUCCAAACCUCCCCCACGCACACUCCCAGGCAACUCAUGCCACUGCUGAAUCCGUAGAAUCUCUUUUUCUGCAAUUUGAAUCCAUUGUGUCCUGUCCUAGCAGAACACUCCUCUCCCUACACUUUCAAAUACGGAAACGUGGCUCCCAGGUCCCCUCUCAGCCUUCUUUGCCCCAAGCUAAACCUGCCCAGCUCCCUUAGAUGCUCCUCGAAUCAUAAAUAUACAAUUAUAAUAGUAUGGCCAUGUUCCAGAAGCGUUCUCUCCUGACAUUUCACCCAUAUCUAUGGCAGGCAUCCUCAGAGGUCGUGAGGUCUGUUGGAAAAACUAAGCAAGGAAGGUUUGUAUAUCUGUGGAAUGUCACAUGUGGGAGAAAGAACUCUUUUUUGUUUGAGGAAAAUGUGAAUGUUACAAUUGAUCACUUUGAUAAGCACUGAAUAGCCUAGCAUGGCUGCUUCCUACAUGGGGGAAUCUUUUGUUAGGAGGUGAUUAGCUGGCUCUGAUUGUUUCUUGUCUGGAAUUCCCCUGUUUUUGAGUGCUGUUCUUUAUUUACAGGAAGCAGCCAAGCUUUGAAGCUGCAAGGCUAUUCAAUGCUAAUCAAGGGUGGCCAAUUGCUACAUUAACACUUGCCUCAGACAGACAAGAGUUUUUUCUCCCAUCCUGGACUUUCAUAGGUAUAUAAACCUCACUUGCCUAGUUUUCAACAAACUUCAUCGCCGGUGUCAGAGUUGCUAUCUUUUAUGAUGUUUCUUUAUUUUAUUUUAUUUUUUAGUCUUUAUUUUAUUUAAUUUUGUUCAUUAAGUUACAGUUACCUUGUUUAUAUUGUCUAAUGUGCCUUGUCUUGAUGUAAACUGUUUGUAUGGGUUUCUUUUCGCAUAGAAUGGUUGCCGUAUAGUUGGAAACCUCCCAGAGUCCCUUUGGGGAGAUAGGGUGGUCUAUAAAUAAAGAUGAUGAUGAUGAUGACUAUUAUUCAUGUUCUUUGGUUUUGUUAUAACUUUCUCUUUACAUAAUGCUGGGAUUAAUGCAGCUUGACACCACUUGAACUGCCGCAGCUCAACGCUGUAGAAUCCCGGGAGUUGUAGUUUUACCGUCAAGAAGAUCUCUCUUAAUUUAUUUAUUUAUUACAUGCAUUUAUACCCCGCCCUUCUUACCAAGGGGACUCUUAAGUUUAAUCAGAAUGUCUUUUCAGGUGGAUUGAAACCAUAAAAGUCUGACACUUCACCUGCCAUGGUUCUAGGCUAUGGAAUCAUGGAAUUCAUAGUUCAGUGAGGCACCAGUCUAGAGAAGGCUAAAAGACCUUGUAAAACUACAUCUCCCAGGAACACAAAGCAUUGAGCCAUGACAGUUAAAGCUGUGUUGGGCUGCAUUAUAUAUACCUUCACUUAUCCAACGUUCUGGAUUAUCCAACGCAGUCGGCCUCUUGCCCGGAUCCAGUUAUUUCUUCAGGCAGCAAGGACUGUUUUUGUAGUCAAUGUUUUCAAUACAUUGCAAUGUUUGUUGCUAAAGACCUGAAAACAUGGCUCUUCCGCUGUGCUUUCGGUGAGUAAUUUCUGUUAUAUAUUUCUGUGUUACUCCCCCCCGAACAUCUAUCCUCUAAACUGCCCCACUCUCAUAUGUCCCUGUCCACAGUGGAGUACCCCUCUGUCCCUCUCACUCCAGGUUUUAUCUUUGUGUUCAUGCGGCCUGCUCUUGUUUUACUGUUUCUUGAUUUCUUGAUGUGAUGUCUAUUAUUAUCUAUUGUAUUACUUUUAAUUAUGUUAUGAUAUGCUGUUUUAUAUUUUAUUAUAUUGUAUUGCUUUGGGCAUGGCCCCAUGUUAGCCACCCCGAGUCCCCGCUGGGGAGAUGGUGGCGGGGUAUAAAUAAAGUUUUUUUAAUUAUUAUUAUAAUUAUUAUUAUAAUUAUUAUUAUUAUUACAAUUAUUAUUAUUAUUUGCAAAUAUAGUAACUCCUACAUAACAUUACCAUGUAUUGAACUGCUUUUUCUGUUGAUUUGUUGUAAAACAUGAUGUUUUGGUGCUUAAUUUGUAAAAUUAUAAUGUAAUUUGAUGCUUAAUAGGCUUUUCCUUAAUCCCUCCUUAUUAUCCAACAUUUUGGCUUAUCCAACACUUUUAUUUUUUAGUGAUUUGUUUGGGGGAGGGGGCAAAAUUCAGUUCGCCUACACUUGAAAAUUACCUAGGGCUGGCCCUGUUUAAGGAAGAAAAAUAGCAUCUGUCUAGAACUGAUGGAGUGUCAGCAAGUUUUAGAUGAAUAACAUCAAUAAAGAGAACAACAACAACAGGAAAAUUGAUACAUGAAGAGACACUGUCCUCUUAGAAAAAGUGUGUCAGAUCUGCAGGAGAAUACAGAGUCUGGGUACCUGCCACCUUUUUUCCAAGAUGUGCUGAAUGCAUGGGGAGUGAAUGUUGAGUAUAUGUUUCCCAUUUGUCUAUGUAAUCAAUAUAGCUAUUAUAAAACCAGUACUGAAUCUGUGAGUCUGCUUCUUUCUCUGAAAGGGCCUGAUGCAACCUGUCACACUGAAAAUGGAUUGAGGAACAUCUGUAAGGUUCAAAACAUAUUCAUGACAGUCAUGUAAGCCAUAUUUUUUUCUUGGCGCUGAAGUCCAACUACAUCUAAAGACCAAAGUUAGGAAUUAUUGUUUCAUAGCCACAAUAUUUUCAGCAUUUAAUUAUAGAUCCAUUCUUGCCUCCAUGGUGGUGGGACUGGGGGUGAAUCUACACUGUAGAAUCAAUGCAGGUUGACAGCCAUGACUCAGUGCUGUGGAAUUGUGGGAUUUGUAGUUUGGUGAGGCAUAAUCACGAGACCUUGUAAAACUAGUUUCCAUGAUUCCAUUGCUAUGGCAAAGUGGUGUCAAACUGCAUUAACCAGGGCUUUGCAAAUUCAGAGAUUAUUCCAUAACAAAAUGUAAGCUUUCUUGUAGAUGGUGAGACAUCAUCUAAUUUCUCAAAUGAAAUACUGACAAAAGAUGUUGUCAUAUAACCACAAAAUGUAGUGCCAUACUGUGGGAUACUGAAAACCACUGAUCGCAAUCCUUUAUUGUUCUCCAUCUCCUCUCUGUUUCUUGUGAUUUAUGACCAUAUAAUAGUGAGGGGGGCAGUGAAUUCAAGCAUUAACCCAUCCUCUAGGAUCUCCAGAAGAUCACCAGGAAGUCUUGAAGCAUAUCUUUAUUGUAGCUGCUCUGGCUACAGCAGUGGUUCCCAUCCUUUUUUUGACCAGCGCCCACUUGACCAGGAACCACUUUAACCAGGGACCACGCUCCAACAUUAGUACCAAAAGGGUUACAAAUCAGUUUUUGGUCAACUUUCAAUUCCGUUUAGUUAUUUGGAGUGCUGAUUCAGAAAAUUGCAUUGGACAGACCACUUCAGCUCUAGUUUCUGAUACAGAAUAUAUGCCAUCCAGUAGUCACCAUCUGUUUGCCCACAGAAAGCCACAUUUAAUAAUCUAGAGCUGACGUGAUCUAUCCAAUGCAAUGUUCAGCUCUGCAGAAAGGAGUGAAAAUAAAAUUAAAUAAAUAAAGAGGAAGGAAUAAAGAGGAAGGAGAUUCGUGGACCGGACUUUCAUUCUUGCGGCCCACUGUUGGGACGCGGCUCACAUGUUGAGAACCACUGGGCUACAGAACCAUAGCAUGAAGUUCUUCAGUUACCACCCAUAAUCUACUGGCCAUUGAAUGGCUUUAUCAAAGGGGAUCUGCAAAGGACACAUGCAUUUUAAGGGGAUGGGAGACAUUGCACAUGAAAGUAGUCAAUAAUUUUCUCCACAACCCCAAAAUAGACAAAUAUCUGUGCCAUCAAGAGGAAGCGAGUCCUUUAAUUUUAUAGGAGAUUACAGAGGCUAUUCCAACAGUCAAUAAGGAGAUCAGUGUAGCUGUUGUAAUUUUGAAAAUUUAAAAGGGAGAAUUGGGAAAAAACUAAAAAGCAACCCCAUCCCAUUUCCCACUAUGACUACUCUAUCAUUCGUGCCUGCUUCAGCAAUUCCUUGCUUUCCUUCCCAGCCAGAGAUUAUAAAUGGAGAAAAAUAUGCAACUGUCAGCUUUUUAAUUCUCCACUAGUCAAGACAAAUCUUUCCAUGACAAACUAUAAACUAAUCCUUUAAGUGGAACUGGGAUCUGUUCAGAUCUGAUGCCUUCCAGAUUCAUUUUCACUUCUAACAGCUGUGUCAAUAAUGUAAAUCUACUCAAAUGCUGUGCAUAUUUACUUGGAAGGAAAUCCCACUCAUAACCUUGGUGCUUACUUUCCAGUAAGUAUGCACACAAUUGCUUCUGAAUUUGCUAAUGUGACUGUGACUGUGACUGUGGAACAGUUUUUGAUUUAAACUCUUUCAUGUUGUGCAAUUUCCUCUGCUCAGCUGUCUACAAUGGAUAUCAUAUGGUCCCUAAAACAAUGGGAGAAUAAAUCAGGUCUUUUUCUGAAAAGCAAUUCAGAUAUAAUUUCUCAUUGAAAUCACUUUGGGAGAUGUAUCAGUAAUAAAUUAAUGUCAAACUGUGAUGUCAGCAUGACAAUAUUUUUCCCAUUUCAGCUAAAAGAGGUGAGUGAAAGGAAAAUACAGAGGGGUCUUGGUAUCCACUGGAAUUUGAGUCCAGGAUGUCCCUCUCUCACAAUGUCCCUGACAUAAAAUGGUAAAAAAAAGGUAUUUCAGAUUUUGGAAUUCCAAAUCCAGGAUGCUCAAGCUGGAUAUAACCUUUCAUCAUAGAUGUCAAAGCAAAAUACAGAAGCUAUGAAAAACUAUGUAUAUAAAACUGGAUGAAGGUAGCUAUACACUUAUACUUCCGGGGGAUUGCAAACUCAUGAUGAUGAUGAUGAUGAGGAGGAGGAGGAGGAGGAGGAGGAAGACGGAGAGGAAGAGGAAGAACUUUAUUCUUAUAUCCCGCCACCACCUCCUCAAAGGGACUUGGGGCGGCUUACAGAUGGCACAAAGUGCCUAAAAACAAUAUAAAAGUGAACGCAGUAUAAAAUACAUUAAAAUAAAACACAUGCAACAUAUAAAACAACAACUCAGACUUAAUCAAUUUCUACACAUGAAAAUCAGCUCCAUCUUGUUGGGAUACAACAUCAGUUUGGUCACUAUCUUCGAUUUUAAAUGCAAACAUCUGUUAUAAAAGUUAUAUAAAGCUGUAAAGGGCCUUUUAAAUAACAGACAGAGAAACAGAACCGAGUAUUUUCCACAUAUUUAUGAGAACUCAUAUUAGAUAAUAUUGUAAUUAUUUUGUCCUCAUUAAAAAGUAGAAGGAAUAGAUGAAACAUUUAGGAUCUAACAGCUCAAAAGUCAUGGAGCUAAGUAUCCUCUCACAUGCUCUGUAUUGAAAUUGACCUUUAAUAUAGCAACAAAAAGCACUACACUCUCACACCUCUGACCCUGCAAGCUCAGUAAUAGAUAUCAUAUUGCCUGAUAUUAUAGCUGUUGAUAUUAAAUUUGUCUUAAAAAUGAAGAGUAAUCAACCAGGUCAACAUUCCAAGCUCUUAACCAAAAACAUAUGCCAGAGUGACAAAGUGCAUUUGAAGUAACAAACCCAGGAGUUGGAUUCAAGUUGGAUUCAAUUGGUUCUAAGACAUCAUCUAUAGGGUGGUGGCCAUGGUGAAAAAUGUUACCUAGACACUAGGUAUUAUUUUUUCACCAUGGAGCUGGGUUAUCACUCCUUAGAAAGCCUGUCCCCAAAGAGCAGAUUAGUGAAAGAUCAUGGUUAAAACCUCUUGGACUCCAGAGAAAAUACCAGAACUAACAUGUUUUCCCGAAAGUAAGACGUAUUCAUAAAAUAGGUUAUAGCAGGAUUUCUAAGCAUUUGUGAAAUUUAAGCCAUACCCCGAAAAUAAGACAUAGUGAUAGGCGUGGCUAUGUAGCGUACCGGCGCAGAGUGGUAAAAACGGCAGCCGCCCCUUCCCUCUGCCACAGCUGAUUUACCAGCUCACACCAGCAUGCCCUCCUCCCUGCCCAAGCAAGGGAAGAGUGCAAGGCACACAAGGUCUCCCAAACAGAGGGAGCAAGAGCAUUGGCCAGUGAGGGGAAACACUACAAGAAGGCGAAUGGGACGGGACCCGUUUGGGGCCCCUGCCCCACCCACAGAGCAGCCGCAGUGCUCCUCUCUAGUCCUUUUGCUGCCAGAGGGGGGGAUGAUGGAGCACAACUUGCUGGGCUGCCUCUCUCACUGUUGCUGGGCUUGGGUGCCACAGCGUUCCUUCUCUUGCAGGAGCAUCAGCCCCUUCCGGACAGAGGGAAGCAUUUGGCCAUCACGCCAUCUGAGUGCUUGAGUAUUGGCCAUGGACAUAAAAAUAAGACAUCCCCUGAAAAUAAGCCAUAGUGUGUCUUCUUGAGGAAAAAUAAAUAUAAGACAGUGCCUUGUUUUCAGGAAAACAUGGUAGUAAUCACCACAGUGACCUAUUUCAAGGAAACUGGAAAUAUCAUCAUACUUAUCAUGAUGAAGCACUAGUUUAGCUCCUGAGCCCACUUCAUUUACACACACACACACAAUAAAAGGCUAGCCCUGUCAGUAUUUUGUCCACAUCCACAGGCUGCAUCAAGUGACAUUUAUCCUACACAGAGGAGACAAUAUUUGGGCAGAUUCCCAGAAAAGGUGUCAAUGGUAGUGCCAAGUUAAAGUGAACAUCUGUGCUUUUUUUUCCCAAACUGUUUUGAAAACAUAUCUUGGCAUGAUUCUAAGGGUCCCAUCAGAUUCCUAUCAGACUCUUGUUUAAUUAAAAAUAUUUAUCAACCACAAAAAUAUCCCCUGCCUAACUGCUUAAGAACACACUGGAGGUGGCACCAAGUAGGCACAAUAAAUGUGUUUUUACUUGUAUUCAGUCAUAAUUAGUAACAGAUUUGCAGCAUCUCUUUUCUAAUUACAUUCCUGUCUCCUUCGUGGCACAUAGCUCACUCAUAAAUCAAAAAGCUAAAUGGAGUCCACAGUACUACAGAGGACACUCGGCAGCAGUUGCAUCAAAAGCCCAUUCCAUCAUACAAUUUCACUGAGUGCUUGGAAAGGACCAACAGCCUUCUCAGGUCAACUCCAACCAACAUGUUCAUCCAGGCCUCAGUGAUAUAUAUCAGGCUGUCAUCUGAAUCAACAAAUUGUAACUGAAACUAGUUAUAUUAAUUUGCAACUCCCUCAGGCCAGAGGGCAAGUUUACAAGGCAACCCAAAAUUUCAUUGGUUGGCGGAAUGACCAGAAGACUGGGUGGAUAAGCCAUAGAUGUUACACCAGUCUUUCCUGUAACUGCUUUCUACCAUGUGAAUCAAAUGCACAAUAUAAUACCCACACACACCACAUACCCCGUGUCUGCAAGGGAUAUGUUCCAAGACCACCACAUGGAUACCUUGAAACAUAGAUACUAGUAAACAUUAUAUUUUUUACUGUACCUGGCCAGAAGCAUACCAUAAAAUUACAUUGAGAGGACAUAAAUGCUUCUGAGGAUUGGUAGGUGGGGGGAAUAUUUUUGAAGUGUGGAUAAGUGAAACCAUGGUUAUUGUAAUGUAUUCAGUUAUAAAGACCAGAAGAAGGAUAAUGUCAUACAAUACCAAAUGUAGCUUUAAAAAAAAGCCAAAUUUUAUGUCACCAAAGAAUAUGAAAUUUAAAUGGUUAUAUAUCUAAUAGAUUACCAAGAUUAUUGCAUCAUUUUACUUGGUGAGAAAUUGAACGAAAAUAAAAGAUAAUAGAUCCUAGAAAAGAAAAGCCAUUGAAGGGAAUGAUUCUAUUAAUAACCACAUCACAGAAAGCUGUCAAAAUGGUUUUGAGUUCCCUGAAGUAUCAUCUAAUUUUAUGCUCAUCAUUAAAGCCUCUCCACUGGGACCCUACUGGUAUGCACCAAUGAAUGUAUGAAUAAAAAUGGCUUACAGAAUUGGAAAAAUAUAAAGGAAUUUGUCAGUUCAGUUUGGAAAAGAAAAUGAAGCUUGAACAAAUAAAAGGCUGAUGGACAUUUAAAUGAACAUCCCUCUGCAAUCUUAAUUAAAACAGUUGCUGUACAAUUUUUAUGAUACAAUCUUGCUUGUUUGUCUCUCGGUAACAGCCCUUCUAUGAUACAGAAUGGGAAUGAGCUCUAUGAAUAUGCCAAUUUCAGGUGAAAUCUAAGAUAUAAUCCUAGUGAUUUUUAAGGGAAAAACUGAGUGGGCCUCAAAGGUAAAUGUUCUUAAUUGUUUACCCUACAUACAUAGCAAUAUCUAUCCCAUUCAGAUAUGUAUAAAAUCCAGUCAUUAUUUUCACUCUAGCAGUUCAGCAAUGCCUAGCAAUUCAGCUCUUGAAUGAAUUCAAGACUCAAUAGUUAUUCUAUGUUUGAAACUUUGAAUCUUCUGCAUACAUUCAGAAGUAAACACAAGAGAAAUUGCCUGACUAUGCAUUGACCCCAGAUUGUUCAGCAUUAUGCCUACAAUAGGUGUAUCUGUUAUGUGAGCAAACUUGUUUUCUGUUGCUCCAGAAAAUUGUAAACAGAGGCUGAAUGGCCACUUGUUGAGAGUGCUUUGGUUCUGCAUUCCUGCAAGGCAGAAUGGAGUUAAACUUGAUGGUUCCUGUAGUCCCUUCCAAAUCUAUGAUUCUAUGUGUCAGCCUAGAUCUAUGGUUUCACUUAACCAAAUCCAAAAAUACAUUCUCUCGAGGCAUUUUCUAUGUCCUCCACCAUGAUUCUGUAGUAUGCUUCAACCAGAAGUUGACCACAGAGCUGUGCCAAAGGCUGUAGAAUGCUAGAAAAGUGUUCCUUCUAGGUUUUUUCUAGGUCCUCCAGUUAGGGUUAGCUAUUAUCUGUGGUUAGCAUUUCCAGACUAAGUUCAGAAAUUUAUACCCUGUGUGUAUAAGGGUUGUAGCAUACUGGAAUCCUGAAGCAGGUACCACAGUGCAAUCCUAUGUAUGUCUUCUCAAACAACAGUAAGAUAAUAUUCAACAGAGUUCAUUCUCAUGAAAAUGUGCUUACAAUUGAAACCAUAGUCACACAUACAGAGGCUUUCAAGAGACUAGCAUUGUCAAGAGGAAACGAAUUAAGGAAAAUAUGAACCAAGGCCUAACAGGAAAUAUGUUUUCUUCUCUGGAGGUCCUACAGCCAUAGGAAAAGUCAGGACAUUUCCACUUAACACUAAAAAAUACAUGGUCAAAGCUUGAACUGUGACACCAAAAUCUGGAGGUUUCAGACAUAGGAGCCUACUUGGUGCUCUGCCUUGAAACCAGUUCCUAAGGCUGGAGAAAAAUCUGGAAACAUUGUUUUUGGAUUGCAACUGCCACUGCCCAUGCUGUCACGUGGAUUCUGAGAGAACCAUUUCUAAAUCAUUGACUGAACCAGGCUGAGGACUUUAUCAUACAAAGCAGGAAACCUAUUUCAUAUCAUAUGAAACCUGCUGCUUGUCUGCCUCUCUUCUGUGAUCUUCCCAUCCCUAGUAAAACCCAUGAAUAGCUCCUAAUCCCACAAUGCUCCUCUCACUUGCCUUGGUGUGAUGAAUCCCCUUUUCUUUUUUGCUGGCAUGUAGGAAGUAAAGUGGUGUCAGGGACAGGAGUCUCCUCCUCUCCCCCUUUGCUAUUCCGAGAGUGACCAUUUUGCAAACAUAUUACAUAAACAAAAUAUUAUUAUAAAGCUAAGGAACAGCAGUAGUGUGGGAAGGUGGACCUGCAAAGUUGUGAAGAACUAUGAUUGUGGGAUCCACAAAUUGUCACAUCAGAGCAUUGACACAAUUGUGCUAGUGAGGAGAGGUGCAAUAGCAAGGGUGCUCAAAGGUGACUCCAGUGGAAUAGCAGGUUCAUGUUAUGAAGUGAUGAAUAACAAUUACAUAUUUGUGCUAAGAUUGGCACAACCCUGAUUUAAAAUGCUCUUCCUAUAACAUAAAUAAGCAAACAAAUAAUGCAUUAUAAUAUUGUGUACUCUACACUUAUGUACACAAGAGCAAAUACAAUGAUUUUAAUCAUGUAGGAAUCUAUAUUUAAAAGCCUUACAUUUAUGAAUUCUCUGUGUCUUAAGAAAUAGCUUGUUAUACUUGUUAUACAGCUGGGGUACAUAUGCAGAGAGAUUGCUUAGCUUCCAUGCAUAGAUGAACUUCAUUUUCAGCUAAUAAUGAAACAAUGUGCACUGAUAAUUUAAUGAUAAAAUGCUGGAAAAUCAAGUUAUGCAUAAUGGGAAUGCCAGGAAAAUGCUAAGAAUAUGUGUGCUAUUAACUUCUCAUGUAGGGUGUAGUCAUUCAUUUUGAUGGAGACUGUAACUGCUUAAUUGGUGAUUGCUGCUGCAUAAAGACCAUUAAGAACAUUAAAAAUAGAGAUUUUGCCCCAAAAUAGGGACUAUUAGAGCUUCAUGAAAAAAUCAAUCUGCUGUUUAAAAUGCAACUUAGAGGGAAAAGGGUGAAAUAUGAAUCUUCAGAUCUGAAGGUCCUAUCAAACUUUUUUCGCUGUUUGAGAUGGACUCCAAAACUGAAACCAAUUCCCAUUACCCCAACUAUAUCUUUUCCCUUUCUGUGAUGAGCCCUUAAUUCCAUGACACAGUUUUCUAGAUGCUAAUGGUCCUUCUAUGGCUGGCAAGCAUGGUCUGUUCUUUGAGAGGAGGAGCUGUUAUAGUGCUGAUAGGAUGGCAAGAGACAGUGGAGGGUGGCAACCAGUGGCAUCAUGGCAGAGUGCCUAGCUACCUUUUCUCAUCUGUGACCUCAGCCAAAAAUAAUUUGACCCAGUUUGCCCAACAGUAAGGUGGUAAUGGUUUUUUUUGUGUUAACAGAAAUGAAGCCGAGUUGGACUUUUGGGGGGUCUGCCCCAGCCAGAGAGAGACCCCGCGGCCCCAACAAAGAGGGAUCGCUACAUUGGCGAGCUCAGAGAAGCCUGAUUUCAGCAAUUUUAGUUCCCUAGAAUCCAAUAAAAAAACUCUGCCAAAGUGAAAAAGCGCCACCGAGAUGAUUUAUUAGCAAUUCAGCUGAAUAGGAUGCGAUGCCGCAAUCAUUUGUCAAGGAAAGCAAGGACUUUCUCUUAGACUGUGGGGCCACUCACUCAGUGGUCACAGAGGGGUUCAGAGGGACAGAGUUGGGGAGUAGGAAGACUCAGGUAGUUGGGGUCUCAGGAAAAGGCAGAAAGGUCUUUUUUGAAGCCCAUGGAGUGUGAAGUGGGGGGGGGGGGAGAUGCUGUCUCAUGAGUUCCUCUACAUGCCUGAAUGUCCUAUUCCCCUCCUGGGCCGAGACAUUCUGUGUAAGAUCAGGGCACAGGUUGCAUUUGGGCCCGAAAAGAUCAUCUUGGCUGUCCCAGAGGAGGAAGGGUGGAGGGCACAAGCUUUCUUGCUUCAUCAGCCUGCCCCAGAGGCUGAUUUGAUCCCCUUGGCCAUUUUGGAGCAGGUGAAUCCCAUAGUUUGGGCAGAUGGGGUCCCCGAGAGAGCUAGGAACAUUGCCCCUGUUACCAUUGCCCUCAAACCUGAUGUCAACCCCCCUAGAAUCCCUCAGUCCCCAGGAAGCCCGUAGGGGGCUCCAGCCCAUCAUUGAUAAUUUCCUACAACACUCACUGUUAAGCGAGUGUGCCUCUCAAUAUAAUACUCCAGUUUUGCCUGUUAAGAAGCCCAAUUCGGAUGAAUAUCAUUUUAUACAAGACUUGAGAGCCAUAAAUGCUAUUGUGAUGGACAUACAUCAUGUGGAGUCAAACCCUUAUACUCUUCUCUCUACUAUCCCUCCCUCCUGCUCCUGUUUCACUGUUUUGGACUUGAAAGAUGUGUUUUUCUCUAUCCCCCUUCAUACAGAUAGCCAGGAAAUCUUUGCCUUUGAGUGGGAGCAUGUGGGAACGGCAAGGUGGGUACAGAUGUGCUGGCAGGUUUUGCCAAAGGGGUUCACCUGUUCACCCACGAUUUUCAGCCAAAGCCUUGCCUCAGAGUUGGAAAAAUGGCCAGACCGAGACCAGGGAUGAUCUCCUUUUAUGCGCUGAGGACCGGGACACCUGUGAGCGGUUCACCAUCAGUCUCCUCAACUUCCUGGGCGAAGCUGACUUCAAGGUUUCCAAGAAGAAGGCUCAAAUCUGUCAGGACACUGUAUGGUACCUGGGGUUUGAUGUCUCCCAAGGACAAAGGGCAUUGGGACCAGAGAGGAAGGAGGCUAUCUGUAGGGUCCAGGAACCAAGGACUAAAAAACAGCUGAGAGGCUUCCUUGGCAUGGCUGGCUUCUGUAGGAUCUGGUUGCUGAACUUCGGAUUGCUUGCCAGGCCCCUCUAUGAAGAAACCUCUGGGCCAGAGGCUUUCCUUGUUUGGUCUGCAGUCUCCCGCAGCCCGGAUAAGUUUUUUUCUAAUGUUAGUAUAGUUUCAGGCAGAAAAGAGACACAAUGUAUCAGUUAGGAGAGGUUGAAGUUGCAACUUGGUUAAUCUUUAUUAGGGGCUUGUUACAUAGUUGGAGCUGGGUAGGGAGAUGAGAGAGAACAUGCGGUAGAAUAGAGUCCCUGGUUGAGGCGGCUGCUGGGGCACAUUUUAUCCUUUCUAGCUCAAUUUGGCACCCAGGAACUGCGGAACUCCCUGCAGCUUUUCAGAUCAGCUCAAAGGCAGGGGUUUGGGGUGCCCUCGAUAACAGAAAGACUCGGAACACAUUAUUACAACUGUAGCUCCAAAACAAAAAUCAAACAGCAUAUUUGACAGAAUUAUUUGCAUUAUAGGAAGUAAGGCUCCCAUAAUUGCAAAUCCCAUAUUCAUGGAUCCAUGGAUUCAGGCAACUACAGUCUGGCUGGGAACAUAUUCUCCACAAAUACAGAAGUCUUAAUCUACCACUUGCUCCCCAUGUUUCCAUAACAAAUCUACCAGAAAGUCUAGAAUUAAAUGCAACAAAACCUCAAAUGUGAGUCAUGUUUCUUAAGGUGACAAGAUGAAUCUCUGCAUUGAGCUAUCAUUCACCUCUAUUUGUAUCGAAAAGUAAAUUUAGGAUUAUCAGACCUUGCAGAGAGAGAGCUAUCGCUUUUUAGAAAGUGAUAAUGAUUACUCAUGUGAAACAAAGUUCUGCUGUUUUUAAACUGCCCUUUCUAACACUAAUCGUCAAUUAAAUAGUUAUUUCCUCCAGUAGCCAAACCCAAGAAAAUAGCAACAGACAUAUCUUCCUUUAAAAAAUAUGUAUUUUGCUGACAUUCCAAUAUAACUCUAUAGAUGCCAAUUUCAGGAUUAUUGGUGCCUCAGAACAAUGAAAUUUCACAGGCGUAGUGCAUAGCAGCUGUUUUACUGCUUCUAGAAAAACAAUGUGAUUGCAUGAUAAUGAAGAACUAUGAUCUCGAAAGAUUGUAUAGGAAGGGAAAACAGGCAAAAGUGUAAUUCUCAAACAUUAUUACCACCUUCAGUGCUUAUAUUUGGCAGCACAAAAGUCCCAAACCACCACACCACAAAAUCAAAGAAGACACAUGUUUUCAAGUGCCAAGCCAAAGAUCUUUUGCAUACAUAUUUGAUUAUGCUGUCACCCAUCCAGCAGUGCAUUUUGUCCCUGUAUACCAGUGGAAUGACAAUUUUCCCUUCCCACAUCUUUGAAAGUCCUCCCUGGUAUAAAAUAACCUAUUCCAGAAUGUUUCCCAGACUUCCAGAUAGGAUUUUUUUGGCGCACACAUGGAGUUGAGAAGAAAUUGAUAAUUUUGACAGAAACUAUGUGAGAGAAAGCACACAAAUUCUGGCUACUGUUUUAGCUGUCCAACAUCAUUUUCCUAUUAUUUAGUCAACUAAGUCUAAAGAGUACAAUGGCCUAAAGCCAAUACGUAGUUCAAGCUUGAAUAAAUCCACUGAAUCAAAUGAUUUUAGAUAAGAAUUGAUCUAGUUGAACUGUAAUGGAUUUGAGUCCAAGUAUUUAGAUUCCAAGUAUUGUUCGGCAUUCUCCUCUACUUCCUAGGAAUGAGAAGUACCAUGGUCUACUGCUGCUGAAUUUGUUUGUCUAUAGAUGAGAAUACCUAGCGGGCAUGUAGCAUUCUUGUAAUAUGUGUUUUAUUUAAAAAUAUGAAACCAGAGCAUAUAGGAAGCAAACAAGACACUUUUACAAGCAAGUUGCAGUGCCUUGGAUAGCAUCUAAUCAAUAAUUACAAGGAAAUCUCUAACAUAUAGCCACUGACAAAUAAAAGAUCUUUUGCCAUACA